UGGGGAAUAUUGCACAAUGGGCGCAAGCCUGAUGCAGCCAUGCCGCGUGUGUGAAGAAGGCCUUCGGUUGUAAAGCACUUUCAGCGAGGAGGAAGGUGGUGAGCUUAAUACGCUCAUCAAUUGACGUUACUCGCAGAAGAAGCACCGGCUAACUCCGUGCCAGCAGCCGCGGUAAUACGGAGGGUGCAAGCGUUAAUCGGAAUUACUGGGCGUAAAGCGCACGCAGGCGGUUUGUUAAGUCAGAUGUGAAAUCCCCGGGCUCAACCUGGGAACUGCAUUUGAAACUGGCAAGCUAGAGUCUCGUAGAGGGGGGUAGAAUUCCAGGUGUAGCGGUGAAAUGCGUAGAGAUCUGGAGGAAUACCGGUGGCGAAGGCGGCCCCCCUGGACGAAGACUGACGCUCAGGUGCGAAAGCGUGGGGAGCAAACA
rnacentral:rRNA from 1 species